rnacentral:rRNA from 1 species
UUAAACGGCCGCAGUAAUUUGACUGUGCAAAGGUAGCAUAAUCAAUAGUUUUUUAAUUAAAAGCUUGUAUGAAAGGUUGGACGAGAUAAAAUCUGUCUCUAUUUAAUUUAUUUUAGAAUUUAAUUUUUAAGUAAAAAAGCUUAAAUAUUAAUAAAAGACGAGAAGACCCUAUAGAACUUUAUAAUAAUUUAAAUAUAUUAAAUUAAGAUUUAUUAAUAUUAUAUUAAAAUUAUUAUUUUAUUGGGGUAAUAAAAAGAUUUAUAAAAUUCUUUUUUAUUAUAAACAUUAAUUUAUGAAUAUAUAAUGAUCCAUUUUUAGUGAUUUAAAGAUUAAGUUACCUUAGGGAUAACAGCGUAAUUUUUUUAGAGAGUUCAUAUCGAUAAUAAAGUUUGCGACCUCGAUGUUGGAUUAAAGAUUAAUUUAGAUGUAGAAGUUUAAAUUUUUGGUCUGUUCGACCAUUAAAUCUUUACAUGAUCUGAGUUCAGACCGGUGUAAGCCAGGUCGGUUUCUAUCUUUAUUUAAUUAAAAUAUUUUAGUACGAAAGGACCAAAUAUUUAAUAUAUUAAUAUUUUUUAUUUUGAAUAUUAUUGUUAUUUUGGCAGAAUAGUGCAAUGAAUUUAGAAUUCAUAUAUGUAAUUAUAUUACAGAUAAUAUUUGUUUAUAUUUGAUUUAUUAUUUUCUUUAGUUUGUAUAUUAUUGUUAAUUAUUUGUGUAUUAGU